UACAGAGGGUGCGAGCGUUAAUCGGAAUUACUGGGCGUAAAGCGCGCGUAGGCGGCUUUGCAAGUCGGGUGUGAAAUCCCCAGGCUUAACCUGGGAACUGCAUUCGAGACUGCAUUGCUAGAGUAUGGGAGAGGGAAGUGGAAUUUCCGGUGUAGCGGUGAAAUGCGUAGAUAUCGGAAGGAACAUCAGUGGCGAAAGCGACUUCCUGGACCAAUACUGACGCUGAGGCAUGAAAGCGUGGGGAGCAAACAGG
rnacentral:rRNA from 1 species